rnacentral:lncRNA from 1 species
AAUUACCUAGGAAUGAUUUCUUGAAAAUUUGAAAUAAUCGAGCUAUAAGUAAAUUAAUUGUUUGCAUUGCUUAAAACUUACUAAGCAUUGAAGCUUACUCCGUGUUCUCUUUUCCAUUCCUUAUAGGUUUAUCCUUUAGUUCGAGUUGGAAGAGCCGGAGAUAUCAUCACACUAUCGAGUCAUUACGUGAGUUGAGAAGAUGGUAUAUCAUCAUGAUUUAAGGCAUGUAUAGGAUAGACUAUAGGUAGAAUGAUAUUUUGUCUUUGUAUACAUUAUAGCCAUGCGAAGAUGGCUCGCUUAUUUUGUUUAGAGAAGCCUUAUAAUUGAACUAAUGUGUUGAAAUAUUUUAGUUAUAACUUGAUAGUAGUUAAUUUGUUAUUAGAUAUUCGGUUAUGUUUUGAUAGUUAGUCAUUUUGGAAAUUUAUAAGAGCUCUUAUGAAAAAUCAAUGAGACAGGUUGCAUUGUUGAUAAUUUAUGUCUGGUAAAUAUCUUUGACCUUAUAGAAGUUUUGUUCAGUCAAGUAAUACCUCAUAACCUUAUUCCGGCAACGGAUACGGGUUAGGAGUGUUACAUUUAGUGGUAUCAGAGCUAUGGUUUAGUCAAUUCUCGGACUAACCUAGCGUAUGUGAGUCUAGCUAUACAUGCCAUAUUACUACUCGUGAUAGUGUGACAUCUCCCGGCUCUAACGAAAUUGUUUUGUAAGAUAGAUAUUCUUUCCAACCGAGCUAAUUCUGAUAGUACAGAAUGUUAUACUCAGACGUUUGAGUGAAAAUGUGUUGGUGAUGAGUUGAAACUCAUAAAAGGUAUGAAUCAGAAUGCAUGAUAUUCUGCUAUUGAUAAAUGUUAUAAUUAUAUGAGUAUAUGAGUUGUGAUGUUGGGUAAAUGAUGGUUGUGUGAAUAUUUUGACUUAGAAUUUAUGAUUUCAUUUAGCCUAUGAGUUAUGUGUUAAGUACCAAGUGAUCAUAAGUAAAUAAUUGCUAGAUGUUUGAGAAUGCGGAAUUAGUAAUGAACUAUUCGUUCAUAAUAGUAUGUGUGAUGUGCAUGCUUACGUAAGUGUUAAAAUUGUUGGCUUUACAACCCUCACCCCCUCAUCGGUAAAGCAUUGUAAUGAGAUCCGUGCUAUAUGGAUUAAAUACGCUUACGAGUGUGAAAAUUUCAGAGUUUCGUGGUUGAAAGAUUAGUAUUAUGAUCAUAUAAGAGAAUGAGUCCGCAAGUGAAGACAGUAACAGAAAAGAUAUUGGAUCAUGUUGAAGACCAUUCGUUAUAUGCCAAUUCACUGUUAAAGAAGAAGUUGAAAUCAAUGAGAUGAAAGUAUUCAGGUAUGAUGUCUAAAGAACAUAUUAACUAGAAUUUUUUCUAAAUUGAUUUCUGUUAGUAAUGGGAUAUUGUGAAAUCAGUGAUGAUAGAAUUAGACAGUAGGAUAAUGUUUGAAUUGAAAUGAUAGCUGAGUGCAGUGGUUAUAGUCGGGUAGUUACUACGUUUUCUUCUAGGCAAAUGAUUAUAGUCUUCAGGGUUCUGAGUGAGAAUCUGUGAUAGCCCAAAAUUGACCCUAGUCGGGAAGUGGUUUCGGGACCACAAAACUGAGUCAUACUAAUAAUUAGCCAUCAUAUUUGAUGCUUAUUAUAUGUAUAUAUGCAUGUGUGAAAAUUUCAUGCUUGAAUUUUGUUAAUUGUAAGUGAAUUUUAUUAAAUAGGACUUAUGUGAGAAAAUUUAGAAAUGUGCUAGGCAAAUGUGAAGUGGCCUAUUAAUGCAUGUUAUGAAAAUGAUGGGUUUGCAUGUCAAAUUACCCAAAAUUUGAGCUAGUGGCUGGCCAUGCUAUGGGUGGAAACAUGUUGGGAACAUGUUGGCUUAGUGUGUUAUGUUAGAAAGAAUAAAUAAAAGGGUUAGUAAUUAAGUAAUGAAAAGGGAGGGGUGAUGAAAACAAAGUUGUCUCAUCCGUCCCCCCCCCCCCCUCCAUUUUGCCGUAACUAGACAAAGAAAAGAAAAAAAAAGAGAAAGGGUGUUCAUCCUUUAACACCUUGGCUGAAAAUUUGAAGGAGGAAGGAAGAAGAAAGGUUGAAGAGAUUCGGCCAUGCAUGUAACUAGGCUAAGGUAUGUUUGAUGAUGUUCCAUGAGAUGCAUGCAUGUUUUAGUUGUUAGUUUGAGUUCUACCUAGCCCAUGGUCUAAAUCUUGCUAUGUGAUGGAGAUGAUAUUCGGCCAUGGGUGUUGUCUUUCUUGGUUGGUGUUUUGAUGUUGUGGUGAUGAGGCAUGAAGAUGAUUGAGCUUGAGUGUUUAAUAAAAAGGUUUGGAUGUGAGAGUGUGUGAGGAGUAGAAAUGAGGGGUCUUAGCAACUUCAUGAAGGUUCGGCCAUGGUGCUUCAAUAUUGCACUUGUGUUUAACCCUAGGAUUAAUUAGUUAUAUGGUUAGUAUGGGUAUGGGUGACCGAAUAUGAGAGCAUGAAUAGAUGGAGAGUUUGGUGAAUUGAUAUGUGGUAAAUGUUAAGUGUUAAAUGAAAUGGAGAUGAUAGAUUAAUGUUGCACAUUCGGCUAUAGUUAGGCAUGUUGAUGAUCUUAUCUUGACUUAGAUAAUUAGGCAUAAAAGGGUGGUAAUGAGGUUGAGGUUGUUGGAUGGUUAGUUGGGUAACAAAUGAAGCAUUCGGCCAUCACUUGGGAGCUUAUGUGAUGUUGAGUUUAAAAUUAGCAAAGGUGAUUACCGAAUGUCCAAGUAUGCAUAUGCAUGUGUGAUUAGAUUAUUGAUAGUAUGGUAAUUGCAUGAGGUUAUUAGCCGAAUAGCUAAGAACAUAAAGUAGCAAGAUGAAAAUUUUACCAUGUCGUUUCGUAUGUCAUAAAAUCAUUAAAAUGUGGAUACCAAUAUAUGUAGCAAAGCGGUUAAGUGAGUUAAUUUAUUUGUUUAAGCUCAAGACUCUAAAGGAGAGGCGUCCAACAAGGGAAAAUCGAAGGUCAUCGAAUAGCCGCCGAAAUUGUUCGACCACAUCCGAGGUAAGUUUUAAGCGAUUAAACGUCGAGUAAAUUCCAUUAUAAUAGGACAUGAUGAGUUGAUUUAAUAAGAUAUGAUGUGGCCAUGAUAUGUUCUAAGCUCAAAUGGUAAGUUCUUAAGUGUUUGAGCUUGGGAAUUCAAGGGUAAUUUGAAAUAGUCUGCUUAGGACAGCAGCAGUAACGUGACUUUAGAAAAUCACCAUAAAUUUAUGGAUUUGAAUUAGAGGCUGAAUGAGACAUGAAAUUAAAGCUUAAUGAGUCUAGUUCUUAUAAAAGAAACCGUGUAAGCAAAGGAAUUUCCGAUAAUGAGAUAUUUAAAGUUGUGUGAGACGGUGUCAGAAUGACUCCGAAAUCCCCUAUUCGGUUUUUAGAAAAUCAUUAUAAAUUGUACAAAAAUGGUUAUAAGAUAAAAUUUAUAUGCUUAGACUCCUUAAUGAGUCUAGUUUUAAAUUAAAUCAAAUAAAACACAUUUUGAAUUCUGUAAAAUGAGAAAUUUGAUUCUUAGUGAAGAGUGGUCAGAUUAGUCAAACAGUGAAACAGGGGAAACUUUAAGAAAAAUCUGGUAUUGAUUGGCCAAACCUAAAAUUCUGGAAAUUUUAUGGAUGCAAGAUAUACGAGUCUAUAUUCAGGAAAAAUUAACGGAAAGUGAUUUGGAGUUUUGUAGCUCCAGUUAUAAAUAAUUUAGUGACUAUUGCUCAGGAAAAACAGCUUGUGCUGAAUUUGAUAUUAUGUUGUGAACCUUGAUAAACUUGUUUUAGUUGCUCAUAAGCUAUUGAUUAAACCCAUACUUGAAUUCUAAAUCGUGAUAUUGUAAGUUAUGAGUAUUCGAAUAUGAAAUGAUAGUAAGGCCUAAUGGCCGAUGUGAUGAAUGUGAAAGUGUAUAUAUGUGAUAAGGCCUAAUAGCCGACGUGAUGAAUGUGAAAGUGUAUAUGUGUGAUAAGGCCUAAUGGCCGAUGUGAUGAAUGUGAAAGUGUAUAUGUGUGAUAAGGCCAAAUGGCCGAUGUGAUGAAUGUGAAAGUGUAUAUGUGUGAUAAGGCCUAAUACCCGAUGUGAUGAAUGUGAAAGUGUAUAUAUGUGAUAAGGCCUAAUAGCCGAUGUGAUGAAUGUGAAAGUGUAUAUAUGUAAUAAGGCCUAAUGGCCGAUGUGAUGAAUGUGAAAGUGUAUAUAUGUGAUAAGGCCUAAUGGCCGAUGUGAUGAAUGUGAAAGUGUAUAUAUGUGAUAAGGCCUAAUGGCCGAUGUGUGAAUGUGAAAGUGUAUAUAUGUGAUAGGGCCGAGUGGCCAACGUGAUGGAUGUGAAAGUGCAUAAAUGUGAUAAGUCCCGAAGGGCAUUUGUGUCAGCACUAUAUCCGGGUUAAAACCUCGCAGGCUUUAUGCGAGAAUAUUAUCACUGAUUAAUGUCCUUAAGCUUCGUGCUUGUACUAUAUCCGAGCUCUAAAGACCCGAUGACCACGUGUGGGGAUUAUGUCCGGGUAAGACUUCGUAAUAAGAAUUGCUUAUAAAUAUAUUCAAUGCGAAAGGUUAAACAGGUAUGUACUCCAAGUUUAUAUGUGAGCUUGAUUUGCACUAAAUCAUAAGGUAGUUAUGUGAUGCAUACGAGAGCAAUCUAUGAGACUAUUCCUAUGAUUAUGUGAUAUCGGAUCAGUGUGAGAGGUGAUGUGAAAUCAUACGAUAUAUCUAUGUCACAUGAGCUCACUUUUAUGUGAAAGUUUAUCUGCUUAUUGUAUAUGAUGAGAUGUGCAUAUUCGGUAAAGGGUGGUAUGCCCGAAGGAAGAGUGAAAUAAAAAUACGAACAACUAUGUUAUAAUUUGAUUGUUAUCUGUUGACACUGCUUAAAACUUACUAAGCAUUGUAAUGCUUACUCCGUUUACUCUGUUUCCUCUGUUUUAUAGAUCUCAUUUCGAAGCUACAGGCUCGGGGAUCGUCAGCAACUAGUCACACUAUCACUAUCCACUGUUUGGUACUGCUACGUUUCGGAUUGUCUUAUGGCAUGUAUAAAAUAGACUAGUGGCGGAAGAAUAUUUUGGUUAAUGUAUAUAGCCAUGCGAAAAUGGCUUAUAUAUAUUUGAGCAUAAUGUUAUAAUCAUUUGGUAUGGAAUGGUUAAUCACUAUCAUAAUUUGUGCUAUUUAUGCUAAAAGAGCUAGUUGAAUCAUGGAAACUAUGAAAUCGGUAAAGUCUACCUUAAAGGCAGAUGCUGGCAGCAGCAGUGAUGUAGAUUUGGAAAAUCACUAAAAAUAGUAGGAUUUGAAUUAAAUAAUGAAUAAAUUAUGUAAACGAACCUUGAUGAAUCUAUUUUCAUAGGAAAGUAACGAAACUAUCAUAUGGACAGUAUGUUAAGAGAUAUUCAGGUUCUUGUGAGACAGGGCCAGAACGGUUUCUGGAUUCCCUGUUCCGACUUUGGAAAUUCAUUAUAAAUUAACCAGAGAUAAUUAGGAGUCAUUCCAUAUAUGUAUAGAUUCCUCUCUGAGUCUAGUUUCUAUAGAAACAAACCGCAUCAGUAUUGAAGCUCUGUGCAGGGAGAUAUCCAAGUCGUAAUGCACAAAGGUCAGUGUAGUCGAUCCCUGUAAUAUGGGAUACUUUGACUAAUAAACUGUACUAAUUGGCCCGACCAAAAAUUCUAAAAAAAAAUAUGUAGAUGGGCAUAUGAGUCUAGUUUCAGGGAAAAUUUACGGAACUGGAUUUCGAGUUUCAGAACUCAAGAUAUGAUUUUUAAGCGACUAGUACGCAGACUGGCAGCUUGUCUGGGAAAUUUUUUUUUAAGUGGUUUGAAGUCUGUUAACACCUCGUGUUCGACUCCGGCGAUGGCCUCGGGUUCACGGUGUUACAGAAUCUUUAUGUGUUUUACGAUCGACAAUCAUGUGAUUAAUCUUAUCAAAUGAUGAGUAGUUAUUGGCUGAGCUAGAGACUAAAUUGAUGUUUAAUCAGCAAAUUUGUGAGGCUAAGAGGUCUGUUAGUGAAUUACAAGUUAAAAAGGGUACAACGUAAAUUAAUUUCUGAUUUAGAAUUUCAGAUUGGAACCGAAAAUCAUUCGUUGUGUCGAGAUAGAGUUCGUGUAUUGAGAAAUCUAGAGAUUUUACAACAAUUGUGACAUCUAGCACAGUGGUGAUUAUCUUUCCGUACGGGGAGUACUAAAAGAGUACCAGUUUUUAUUGUUCAAAUGGAGACACGAGGAUUAUAUCGUGUUACUAAAAUAAACUACUGUGAGCUUUGGGUAUGGAGUUACUUUGUCAUACUGUGUUCUAGAACUUGAAAGCAACCGAAAAAGACAUUUAUUAUUGGUUAAGUUUCCGUAUAAUAAUAAUGGUUAUGAGAUGAAUGUUAAGAUAGCAUUGUAUGAGAGAGGUAUGGUUGCAAUUACAGAACUUUGUUGUAUUGAAUUGAAUUUUGAUAAAAAGAAUUUCGGGGUUGAUGUGAUUGGAAAGAGUGAGGGGAAAUAAAAGUAAUUCGUGACCGUCUAAAAGCAGUUUCAGAUUGGCAGAAAAUAUAUGUGGGCUUGAUGUGCAAAAGCAUUGAAUUUUCAAUUAGAAAAUUGAGUAUUUGUGAAAGUAUUAUAGUGGGAGUAGAAUUUUUCGAUUUAGCUAUAAAGAGAAGUUGAGUUCACAAUUCAUCGGAUUGAAUGAGAUUAUUAGUAGAACUUGGGAAGACCCGUAAUGUGUUUCUUAUAUAUAUGAUGUGACGAUACAAAUAAGAUCCUUUAUCUAUAGUAUCUCGUACAGAAGUAGAAACUCAACUUGUUAUGAUGUAUAGCAAAGAGCAGAUCAUAAUCUUAGCUCAUGAGAUUGAAAAGUUGAGAAAUCUGAGGCUAGGUGAGAAAUUGAUGAGCCUUGUGAAAGUAAAUCUAAUUUAUUUCCUGGUAAGAUUUUCGAGGAUGAAAAUCCCUAAGGGGGGAGAGUUGUAACAACCCGUUUUUAGGGUUAAUCAGAACAGUAGUUUCGGGGCCACUAAAUUCGAUGAGUAGGUUUGUAAAUAUUAUAUUUAAUAUUUAUGAGUUAAUUGUGAGUUUAAAAAAGGUUUUUGAUAUUGUGAUUUUUGUUUUAUAAGCGAUUUAUUAAGCUCAAGUGGUAUGACCCUAAGGUCAAGUGGGUUUAGAAAAUGAGGUAUCGAGACCUCAUUUCUAUAAACCGAGCCGUAAAUAUUUUUAUAAAUAUUUACGGAGUGGCAAUAAGAUGAUAUUAAAGUUUCGUUGAAAAAUUUUAUUGUUUUGAUAGUUAAUUAAGCAAAAAGGACUAAAUCGCGCAAAGCGUAAAAGUUGUGUUCUAUAAGUUAAAGAUAUUAAAUAGUUAUGGAAUUAAAUAGUGGGAGUCCUUAAGUGGUAAUUAUUCCAUAAUUGUUGGUAGUGGAAUUCCAUGGCUUGGUAUAAUGGAAAUUAUUAAUGUAUAUUAAGGUUAAAUAUGGUAUUUGGUAAUUAUAAUAAAAUAAAAUAAAACAAAAGUCAAAAUUACAUGCUAUCAUCUUCAUCAAUAGCCGAAUGAGAGAAAGAAAAUAAUGUUCUCAAAGCUUUGAAGGUUCGACCAUGGUUGUUCAUGCAUGUAAGUCCAUGUCGUCUCGGUUUUUAAUAAUUUUUACGUUUUUGAGAUCGUUGCCUCAUAAUCUAGCUGGCCCGUACCUCUAAUUUUAAAAUUGUUAAAGUAUUUGGAUGAUGCCAUUAUUGAAUGUUUGAGUAUCUUGUUGUUUGAUGAUGAGUAAUAAAUCUUUGAUGUUUGAUUUUUAUGUUUGAUUAAGUGAUUUUUGAUAAAAAUGUGUAUUAAGGACUAAAUUUAGAAAUUUGUAAAUUGAGGGGUCAAAACGUGAAAUAAAUAAAAGAAAUGGGUUGCUAGAGACCUAAGGUAAAUUCGGCCUAACAUGGGUUUGAUGAAAUUUUGAGUAAUUUGUGUUAUUUUGAAAUAGGGAUUAAAUUGUAAAAAUGUGAAAUGUUAGGGGAUAAAAUGCAAAAUGCCCAAAUUAUGUGUCUUUAGAUAAAAUCUAAUGAAAUGUUGAAUAAGUGAGUUAAUUUUGAUAUUAAUUAGAUUGGCAAAAGUAGAAUUCGGAUUUGGAUCAGGGGGAAAAUUAAAAUGGUCGAUUAGUCGUCUCGUUCCGAUUAUCGACUUCCGAGGUAAGUCCUUAAGUAAUUAUAUUUGAUUUGCUACGCGCUUAAGAUUAUAUAAUAUGAUAAGUAAUUAUUUUACGUUUACAAGUUCGAAUUGCAAUAAGUAUAUUGAAUUUCGGCUAUAAAGCCGAAUAUGAAAUGGAUGAUUUAUGUAUAUAAUGUGGCCGAAUGACUAUUAAGUGAUGAUGUGAAAGUGUGUAAUAUGUGUAUACAAUUUUAUUGUACUUGUUUGUAUAAAGUCGAAUGUGAAUUGAAUGGUAUAUAUGUGGUGAUAGAACAGCUAUUAUGAAACAAAGUCAAAGAAUGGGAUAUUUGUAUAAUACAUGAAUUGUGACUAUUGUUCCUACUUGAUCAAGGUUGUGUGUGAAAUAAUUUGUAAAUAUGGCAUAUAGUCGAAUGGUUAUUAAAAGUGAAAUUAGGAUAAUGAAAAGAUUAUGUGUUCCUUGUGUAUGAUUAUUGAACCGAAAGUUAAAAGGUAGCUGUACAUUUUGUGCUUAUAUUCAAAUGAAGCAAUUAAAUUGCUAAUGUGAAAUGUUAUGUGAAAUGUGUUAACAUGUGAAUAAAUAUGCAAGACACUGAAAAUGUAUCACGGAUAAAGUCCCGCAGGCUUCGUGCUGGAAAUGUAUCCGGGCUAAAGUCUCGCAGGCUUCGUGCUAGAAAUAUAUCCGGGCUAAAGUCCCGCAGGCUUUGUGCUGGCUUCGUGCUGGAAAUAUAUCCGGGCUAAAGUCCCGCAGGCUUCGUGCUAGAAAUAUAUCCAGGCCAAAGUCCCGCAGGCUUCGUGCUGGAAAUGUAUCUGGGCCAAAGUCCCGCAGGCUUCGUGCUGGAAAUGUAUCCGGGCCAAAGUCUCGCAGGCUUCGUGCUGGAAAUGUAUCCGAGUUAAAGUCCCGCAGGCUUUGUGCUGAUAAUAUAAUUUCGGGUUUUAUACCUAGUGGGCCAAGUGCCGAUGAAUUUGAUAAAAGUAUACAAUUACAAGAUCCUACACUAAGUUGACAAAUUGAAAGUGCAUUACAUAUUAAGUUGGCCAGGUAUGUAUCAUGUACUCGUAUGCGAUUUUGAUUUGAAUUAAAUUAUAAAUAUAUAAAGUGAUGCAUCUGUGAAUAAGUGUUAUGACUAUAAAUGUGAUUGUGAUAUAUUCGGUAAAUAUGUGAAGUUAUGUGAAGUGAUUCUAUGUUUAUAUUCAAAUAUAAACACUUGGUCCUUGUGGAAAGGUUUGUGGAAGUAUAUGAUUUUAUUUUUAGGUGAUUACGAUCUUGGAAAAUUAAAUGUGAAUAUGAUAUUGUAUUUCAUUCGUUUCAAUUGAACUAAAGCUGAUAGUGAAGCAUUUUAAUGCCUAUGUUAUAUGAGUUCGAUCUUGAAUGACAUGAUAUACAUGUUUAGAUAAUUUGAAUGCAAGGAAUGUGUGAAAGAGCAAAUUUGUAAUAAAUCUGCUUGAGACAGCAACUGUAGCGUGAUUUUGGAAAAUCACCAUAAAUUGUGGAAAUUGAAUUAGAAGCUGAAUAAAUUAUGAAAUUAAAUCUUAAUGAGUCUAGUUUCUUAUAAAAGAAACCAUCUAAGCAAAAGAAUUUUAGAUAAUGAGAUAUUUGAAGUGGAGUGAGACAGAGUCAAAAUGACUUUGAAAUCCCCUGUUCUGUCUUUAGAAAAUCAUUUUAAAUUGUACAAUGAUGAUUAUAAGAUAAAAUUUAUAUUCUUAGACUCCUUAAUGAGUCUAGUUUCAAAUGAAGUAAACGAUAACAUAUUUCAAAUUCUGUAUAAUGAAAAAAUUGAUUUGUAGUGAAGAGUGGUCAGAAUAGUCAAAUAGUGAAACAGGGGAAACUUCAAUAAAAAUCUGGUAUUGUUUGGUCAAACCAAAAAUUCUGAAAAUUUUAUGGAUGGAAGAUAUAUAAGUCUAUUUUCAGGAAAAAUUAACAGCACUUUAUUUGGAGUUUCUUAUCUCCAGUUAUAAAUAAUUUAGUGACUGUUGCUCAGGAAAACAGCUUGUAGUGAAUUUGUGAUUUUGUUGCAAACAUGGUUAAAACUAGUUAAUGAGAUACUUUUCGAGUUCUUAUGAUCUUAUUUGUGAUUUCAAUAUUUGGUUUUAAUUGAGUUCAGAUUUAAGUGAGGUGAAUUUGCUAAAUAUGCAUUAUGUUCAUGGAUACUUGGCCGAAAUGGCAAUUACCUAGGAAUGAUUUCUUGAAAAUUUGAAAUAAUCGAGCUAUAAGUAAAUUAAUUCUUUGCAUUGCUUAAAACUUACUAAGCAUUGAAGCUUACUCCGUGUUCUCUUUUCCAUUCCUUAUAGGUUUAUCCUUUAAUUCGAGUUGGAAGAGCCGAAGAUAUCAUCACACUAUCGAGUCAUUAUGUGAGUUGAGAAGAUGGUAUAUCAUCAUGAUUUAAGGCAUGUAUAGGACAGACUAUAGGUAGAAU